CACAGAUGACAACUGCAGCCCAGACGACCCAUGGCUAGGACUCUGACAUCCAGCCAUCUCAAUAUUCCAGAGAAGAGGAUGAGUGUGAAGGGUGGUGGCGAUUUUAAACAAGGUGAUCAGGAAGACCUUGUGGAUAACUUCGGGUCUGAGCACACUCCAUCAGGGUUUCCGUAGCAACCAGAGGACUUCACAGGAGAGAGUGAAGGGGAAUUAAGAGCCAGAGAGAGCAGAGGAGAGAGGAGGAGUCCGGAAGAUGCCUGGCUUGGGACCCGAGAGUGGCAGAAUAGCAAAGCCUGCAGCAGCCACAGCACUGUGGUCCUGAGACCCAGGCCAACUUCCUAGAGGACUGGUCGGUGACUUCAGAGGGUAGGGGUGGCCUGGGCCAACACCCAAUUCCAGCUGUCCCUCUGCCCCCAUACAUGCAGCCCCCCGAAAACCCAGAUUCCAAAACCACCUUCUUGGACUCUUCCCUGUUUCUAGCUUCUGACAUUCAAUCAUCUCAAUAUGACAAAUAUCACCAAGUCCUGCAGAAUAUUUCUUCACAAAGAACUGCCCCCUGUCCCAUCAUAAAGACACCUGGGCCACCCCAUGCUCUUCCAACCCAUCUCCCUGCCCAGUCUCUCCCUGGGCUUUUUCUAUACCCUCCCCCUCCCGCCCUCUGCAAGGAGCCCUUGGUAAUGAAGAGCAAAC
rnacentral:lncRNA from 10 species